rnacentral:rRNA from 1 species
UACGUAGGGGGCGAGCGUUGUCCGGAAUUACUGGGCGUAAAGCGCGCGUAGGCGGAUUAUUAAGUCAGAUGUGAAAACUCUGGGCUCAACCGAGAGCAUGCAUCUGAUACUGGUAGUCUUGAGUGUAGAAGAGGAGAGUGGAAUUCCUAGUGUAGCGGUGAAAUGCGUAGAUAUUAGGAGGAACACCAGUGGCGAAGGCGACUCUCUGGUCUAUAACUGACGCUGAGGCGCGAAAGCGUGGGGAGCAAACAGGAUUAGAUACCCUGGUAGUCCACGCCGUAAACGAUGGGUACUAGGUGUUGGGGGUUUCGACGCCCUCAGUGCCGGAGUAAACACAAUAAGUACCCACCUGGGGAGUACGACCGCAAGGUUGAA